ACAUUAAAGUUUUUAACUGAUAAGAAACACUCUGUUCUUAUCAGCUUAAUAUCUGAUAUGUUAGGCAAUGCCUAACUCAUAAAUUAAACUGAUUUUUGGCCUUCGGCCCUGGGAUUGAAGCUUGCUUCGCCCUGGCCACGGGUUGUCUCGGUAUUGCACUACAUCCGAGUACGGCCCUCUUCCC
rnacentral:snRNA from 1 species